UACAGAGGUCUCAAGCGUUGUUCGGAUUCAUUGGGCGUAAAGGGUGCGUAGGCGGCGCGGUAAGUCGGGGUGUGAAAUUUCGAGGCUUAACUUCGAAACUGCAUUCGAUACUGCCGUGCUAGAGGACUGGAGAGGAGACUGGAAUUUACGGUGUAGCGGUGAAAUGCGUAGAUAUCGUAAGGAAGACCAGUGGCGAAGGCGGGGUCUCUGGACAGUUCCUGACGCUGAGGCACGAAGGCCAGGGGGAGCAAACGGG
rnacentral:rRNA from 1 species